AGGGGUGUAGCUCAGUGGUAGAGCGCAUGCUUAGCAUACACAAGGUUCUAGGUUCAAUCCCCAGUACCUCCA
rnacentral:tRNA from 1 species